UUCGGUCGGACAACAACGAGGGAGAGGGAGGAGCGGAGAGAGACUUCGUCUCUCGGUCUCCAUCUGAUCGCUAGCGCGCUUCCCCACGGCGAUUGUUCCUUUCCCGUGCGCCCCCCAAAGCUGCAAGCCUCACGGAAGGGUUUCUAAAGCGGAAAAGAUCGAGAAGACGAGGGUUGCUUAAGCUCUUGGUGAGCUCGUCGCACUACGAGUAGUCACUUCAGCGAACCAAGUAGCCAGGUUUAGGUGUCUCGAGGCGGAGGAUGAGUGGCGUCUCGAGGCGGCGUUUCGCGGCGGCUACGGCCGCGAUAUCGGUUUCUGUUGUGACGCUCCUGUUUCUGCUCACCGUCGGUUUUUAUGGGCAGCGAGUAGAUGCUGAAAGGGAGAUCGGACUCGGAUCCGAGCAACACGGCUCCGGCUCCGGCUCCAACCGCAAGCUCCUCCAAGUCGACGAAGGUACUGUUCUUGUUACGCCAACCGUUAGCUUAAGACAAAUCGCUGUCCCCGAACCGUCCGAUCUCCGUCCCUGUUAUCUGGUAGGACCCGCAGGUGGUUUCGUACGACGACUGCCCCCCACGGCGCGAGCGCGAGCGCCACCGCCUCCCAGACGACAACUCCUGCCCGCCCACGGAAGUAGCCCACGAACCAAUUCCGUGCGUCUUUGUCGAUGCCCACGACGGAAAAGGGAAGCGGGAAGGAACGCGAUGACGAGUCGCCCUCUCUCCCUCCCUCCUCUUCGUCUGACGUCCUGCCGGUCCCUUGUUUACCUUUCCACCUUCAC